GUCUUCAUCACGGCGCAAUGGGCCAGUGCGUCUGGCUGUUAACCAGAAGGUUAGUGGUUCAAGCCCACCUAGGGAUG